ensembl:lncRNA
UUGUAACCACUGAAUGCAGAUGAAUAAGUCAAUGACGAAAGGUAUCAAUGCAUCCAAUGAGCGGGGGUAGAGAAGCGUCCCCCCUCCCCUGGUUGUGUGGGACAAAUGAGUGAGCUGUCAGUCAUUUGAGUGUCGCUCUGUUCACACUGAGAGGCUCCGGCUCCAUCAGCGCGCAGCUCUGUGGUUUGAAAAAAGCCAAACACUUCUCUCUGGUAACGACGAUUGGGUUUGGUUUUCCAUUUUGUGUUUACGCACUGGUGCAUCGCUCUGGCCAAAUGGUCCAAGCUUGAAAAUAAAACACCAAUUAGGUGAAAAUAAUGGAACAAUUUACAGAUACUGUUGUUUCCAGUCAUUAUCAGACAGCCUCCUCCAAGCAAAGCCUGUGAGACAUUCACCACUGAAGGACGUUUAGCGGCCGACUGGGAGAUCCAGAUCAUUCACACAUUUCUAUGCUGCGCAGGUAACUUCAAAUUGAAAUCACACUGGGAGUAAACAAGGAGGAGAGCUUUUUUCUUCUGCCCCAAAUAAAUGUUUUUGUUUAUUUUGAUAUCACGCAGCAAUAAGUGCCGUAGCGGGCUACAAAGAACUGAAGGGAUACGCAGAGACAUAAAGUCGGAUGCGCUUCAUUACCACUCUCUAAAUGGUGUUAGGAAAAGCUCUCACUGUCACUGCGGAACACAUCCUGUCCAUGACAAUAGGCGGUUUAACACAACACAAUAGCAGUGUCUUUUUGAAAAAAAAACAGCUGUUUUUCAAUAGAUUUGCUUUCAAAUAAUUACACUGCUCACUAAUAAGCCUACAGCUCAGCAUGAAUAUUAAAAAAAGACUUUCAGACUCCCCAUAUCCCGCUGUGCACAUAUACAAAACAAAGCAUAUAUAUAUAUAUAUAUAUGUAUAUGUAUAUUUCAGAAUAAAUUUGCAUCAAGCUCCAAGCUGACCAAGCUGAAAACUAAAAGAAGAUGCCUUUUUAUCUCUCACUUUAUUUUCCACCGUUUUGCUGCUAAUGAAAUGGAACCGAUUCCUCUGUCUUGUGCGCAUUGAAAUUCCCGAGCUGUUCCGGUUGCCUGUGGAGCAGGAUUGUUGUAUCUCGCAGCCUGCCCUCUCAUAAUGAAAGAGAGUCUGGAUAAUAUUAUGUGCUGUGCGGCUAAUUAUCUCUGCACAGUAACUGCUUCAACCACAUCACACGUGAGUCAACUGAAGAUGCAGAAAUGUGAAGUUAGUUACCGGCGGCAACAAGUUGGUAAAUUAGACCAUUAAACAGGGAACGCUUUAGGGUGGGAAAGGCUUGUGAUUGACAGAUUUCUACCAAUAUAUUAACUGUCACAGUUGGGUUGCCCAGCUAUGCCUUGGGCAGCGUUCUCAGCUUCAUCCUGUGUAUUCACUUCUAGUUACGUUUUAUUUUCGAAAAUAAUUUCUGACCUAAAAUAUUUAAACUUUUUCUUUCAAAAUAUUUUUUGAUCUAACACAUUUGAACUUUUUUUCAACAUUUUUUCGACCUAACAUAUUUUAACUAUUAUAUUUGGGCUUUUUUCAAAACCUUUUUUGACCUAUUAUAUAUUUUGCCUUUUUUCAAAAAUACAUAUUUUUGACACAAAAUGUUUCUUUUUCUUUCAAACGUUUUUUAAACAAACAAACUUUGAAAUAAAUCUUACAUCAUUGGACUUUAAAACAAAAACAUUUGACCUAAAAUAGUGUGACUUUUUUUUCCAUAAAAUUUCAAACUAAUACUUUUUGUCCUCUAGACCUCUAACUUUGUCCAGCAGAAGCACAAUAUCGCUUCAUUUUGUAUCAGCAUAAAUAUCCUGUAUUUAACCUGUCUUCUACAGAGUUGAUGAGGAUUCUUGAAAAAAAAUGAUUAAAACAAAUAAACUGUGGUUCUGAAGGACACUUGGGUCGGACGUGGCCAGUGUAGAUGGGCAUUUUGGCGGCCGCUGGCGUUGAACUGGUGACCUUUUCGUUUUUACCUGGUCUCCAAAAGCACCGGGCCAACCUGACAGCCCUGAAUGAAUCCUUGUCUGGGCAUGCAUGCUUGAUGACAUUCAACCAGUUCCCGGGAGACGCUUGCUUGGCUCUCAGCUCUGCAUUUUACAAGGUCCCACAGUCUCAGGCAGUCCACAAGCAGGUGGGGAAAAUAAUUAAGUAUGAUUACCAGACAUUAAUCCAUCCAUAGAGUGACAGCCACAGCUGCCCAAACUUUACAGCUGCCACACAGGCCUACAGAGGGCUUCCAGGUGACGCAACGCAACCUUUGCAGCCAUAAUGGACGACCUGUGAAGAACUCAUUCAUUCGUUUGUCUCUCUCCUGUCUGAUUGCAUGAUGGGGAGAUACGACGUUGGAGGAAUUAUUCCAUACGUUUGCUAAACUGGGCAUUUCAAUCAUAAUCAUAUGAUGUAAUGGACAACGCAUGUAUCUGGUGUCUUUAAAUCUUUCAUUCAUUCCCUCUAUCGACUCUGUCUCAUCUCAUUUAAUGGGAGUUUUUAUUUGGUUAUAUUUUUCUGUCAGCGACAGAAUGGAAAGAUUACUUCACAGAUUCACCGCAGUGUGUAUGAAAAAUAUGUCCUUGUCGACUGUGUUCUGCCUCAAAACGAAUGCGCUGUGGGGAACUAAAGUCGCAACUUCCUUUUUAAGCUCUUUUUAGUCAGACUAUUUAUUGCAUGAAAGAGUGUUUUUCUGGUGUGUGGGGAUCUGCUAGUUUACAUAGCUAUGAGAGUAUCAGUGGUGCUUAAGCAUUAGAUAUUUUGUCAGCUUUCAACAACAUACAGUGCUCCAUAGACCCCUUGAGUCUUAGCAACAAAAGUGCUGUCGACGCCUGCCAACUACCACGAGGGGCCCCAGUAAUAAAAAGUGAUUUUCCCCAUAAGAAAGAAUCUCAGUAGAUGGCCAUCGCCCAGUAGAUG